UACGGAGGGUGCAAGCGUUAUCCGGAUUCACUGGGUUUAAAGGGUGCGUAGGUGGGUAGGUAAGUCAGUGGUGAAAUCUCCAAGCUUAACUUGGAAACUGCCAUUGAUACUAUUUAUCUUGAAUUUUCUGGAGGUGAGCGGAAUAUGUCAUGUAGCGGUGAAAUGCUUAGAUAUGACAUGGAACACCAAUUGCGAAGGCAGCUCACUACGGGAAUAUUGACACUGAGGCACGAAAGCGUGGGGAGCAAACAGG
rnacentral:rRNA from 1 species